GAUGAACGCUGGCGGCGUGCUUAACACAUGCAAGUCGAACGGGAUCCAAGGGGUGCUUGCACUUUUUGGUGAGAGUGGCGCACGGGUGAGUAACACGUGAGUAACCUGUCCUUUUCUUUGGGAUAAGCAUUCGAAAGGGUGUUUAAUACCUUAUGUUCUGUCUGCCUCGCAUGGGGUGGGUGGGAAAGGCUUUGGCCGGAUUUGGGUGGGCUCGCGGUCUAUCAGCUUGUUGGUGGGGUGAUGGCUUACCAAGGCUUUGACGGGUAGCCGGCCUGAGAGGGUGGUCGGUCACAUUGGGACUGAGAUACGGCCCAGACUCCUGCGGGAGGCAGCAGUGGGGGAAAUUGCACAAUGGGCGAAAGCCUGAUGCAGCGACGCCGCGUGGGGGAUGAAGGCCUUCGGGUUGUAAACUUCUUUUGCUCUGAACAAGGCAUGCCAGUGGGUGUGUUGAGUGUAGGGGUUGAUUAGCGCCGGCUAACUACGUG
rnacentral:rRNA from 1 species